GCUAGGAGCGGGAUCGUCAGUCGCAAAGGGACCACGCACGGUGACGGUCGUGUGUUUGUCGCAAGAAAGAGAGAACGUGCUAUAGGACGAAGGGAGCUAAGGACAAAGAAAGAGAGUUGGAGAAGGACGUUAGAGGAGGCAACAGAAAUACGUAGACAUUUUCGCGGUCGUUCGUGGUUCGACGAGUUUCGCGGGUCCCGCUCGGUCGUGUUCGCGUGAAAGAGUUUUUAACCUCGUCGUUCGAUUAUCGUGCGUCGUCUCGGUCCGUUCUGGUGCGUGUGGAUCGGCGCGCGCGCGUUUGUGUCCGUGUGUGCGUGAAAAACACCGCACCGUCUCUCGUUACGCUUGUGUGUUACACAUACGGUUAGCACGUAUACAGAGAGAUCUACGUGCGACGGAAAGAGAGAAGGAAUCACCGGGUCGCGUACAGUGUGAACGAAACCGACAGAGUAAGAGAAAGAACGAAAGAAAGAGAGAAUAAGAAAAGCGACACAACUGUGAAGAGGAGAGCAGUGGAGGUGGGCGAGGAGGGGGAGGAGGUACGGAGUGUUGGAUUUGUUUUCUCGCACAACGGUGGAGCAAAACGGCCUCAAACUGUGGGGCUCUGGGGCGUUUUUUCUUCCUCCGCAAGGGAUGUACUACCCCCACAUGGUGCAGACAGGAAUGGCUGCGCCCUACGGUGGGGGUGUCUUCCCCCCGCCGGUGAACGGUGUAGCGGGUGUCGUUGGGGCGGCUGGUGCAGCCGGUGAAGUAAAACCACCACCACCGGUGCCUGUUAAAGAGGACAACAGCGGAGCACCCCAACAACCUCCACCUAGUGGACCUCAGGUACCACCACCAGCAGGCGCCCCACAUCCAACCGCCCCUGGUGCCCCAACCGCGGCUAGCUUUAGCCCACCCCCGCCUCCAAACGGCGUGGAUCAACAGGCUAUCUCGGAGGUGUUUCAGGCAGCAGUGGCAGCUGCAGCAGCUGCAGCUGCUGGUGGCGGUGGUCAGCAAGCAGCUCCGACGCAAGCCGGAAACGAGACGAACCCCGAAGGUGCCGUCGAAGGCAAUGCUUUACCUGUAACUUCCGGCGCGACCACACCAGCAACCGCGACACAGGGUACCGACCUGAAAGGUCAGCCAAAGCGCCUUCACGUCAGCAAUAUACCUUUCCGUUUCCGUGACCCUGAUCUCAGGGCAAUGUUUGGGCAAUUCGGGCCAAUCCUCGACGUGGAAAUCAUAUUUAACGAAAGGGGAAGCAAGGGAUUCGGUUUUGUAACAUUCGCAAAUAGUGCUGACGCGGACCGGGCACGUGAGAGGCUACACGGCACCGUGGUUGAGGGCAGAAAGAUUGAGGUGAACAACGCGACAGCGAGGGUGCAGACGAAAAAACCACCGACGGUACCCAACGUAUGCGUACAAUGGCCAGAGGCCGCGGCACUGAGAGGAGUCGCCAUCCAACGAGGAAGGGUAGGAGCUGCGAGGGCGGCUUUCCCGACAAGUGCAGCGGCAUUGGCCCUCGCUAGGAACCCGGGGCCACUUGCAGCUGCAGCUGCAGCCACGGCCCUGCAUCCCUUUGCACCAGCCGUUUAUUACGACCCCUUCCUAGCAGCACAUGCAGCGACGCAGGAUCCUAACUACAGGCUACAGCUGGAAUGGCCUCAAGCAACAGCUGACGCCGCGGCAGCAGCAGCUGCAGCGUCACCAUUGCUGAAGACACCCCUCUCGACGGCCCAGCAGGCCACCUACGCAGCUGCAGCGACCUACACGGCAGUAGCUGCGCGCGCAUACGGCGCAGCUGCAGCUGCGGCACAACCGGUCGCAGGAUAUGCCGCAGUCGCGGGACAAACAGGUCGACGUGGUCGAGUCAUCAGAAGUCGCAGAUACGCCGAUACCCAGAUGCACCUUGAUAGUCCUAUCGAAAACCCCGAUAGUCCUUUAUAAACCUAUAGAGACAUGUCCUAACUUACGGGCGUGAAUACGCCGAUCCCUACCUUGGACAUGGUAUUGGACCAGUAGCCGGCUAUGGGGCGACAGUGUACAGGGGUGGAUACAACAGGUUCACGCCGUAUUAAGAUUCGAAGGAUAACGAGGCACGAGCCUUCCAAGAGUACACCGUUAUACUCAGCUAAACAUGACCAGAAUAAAUCGACACAAUCAUCAUCCUCAUCCGCCAUCGAUCAUGAUCCUCCCACGAAGCGAUGCCUGGAUUCUCCGCGCAUGCUGACGCUAGCACCAACGUGGCUCUCGACGUGAAACAAAAAAGAAAAAUGACUCUCUGUAAACAAAAAUGAUUGUCGAAAAAAAAAAAAAGAAAAAUCCAGAUUAAGUCACAGCUCGAACAGAUUCGAAAACGGGCAAAACGAUUACUAUUGUUGACGAAGGAUGACGAACAAAGGAGUCUCCCGGCAAUUGGAAGAAAAAUAAGGGAACGCGUUCGACAAGCAACAGGAAGAUCAAAGGAAUUGGAAUAAUACGAAGAACGCUUUGAAUUUGAAUGGAUUUAAAGCGUGCUCGGAGUUGGAGAUAGUUUUCGGCAGGGGUUGCGAACCACAUGACACAAAGGCUUGCUCGAAACGUCGUCAAAGUUUCGAAAGGCAGGCCUGUCUGAUCGAUAAUCGAGGGAGGUAAACGCGGAGAGACGAGGAAAUUGAUAAACCGAAUUACUGGGACAAAGAGGACCGGUUAAAUCGAAUUUCAGCUUUUCGAACAUGCUAAACAUUCGAACAUCCUGCUUCCAUUAGAGAAAGAAUACUGUUAACCCUUUGAUGGCUAGAACAUUUGCCACUUUAACCCUGUGAGAAUAGAACAAUUUUUUUAUAUCAUAUAUUGCAGCUCUGAUUAUUAGGAAUAGGGGUAGGUGUUUUCCAAAUUUCAAAACUCCCGUUUUCAAUUUUAAACAUUUAUUAUAAUAGUAAUAUUACAAGUUUACAAGCUAUUCGAGAAUAAUUAAUUUUUAUAAUCCGUUCAACGAGACGAGUCAGUGUAUGUUUACAAAUUCGCGCGCUCGACGCAGGGUCAUAGCUCAGUUGUUUUCAGUUCUUCAAACGUUCCGGUCGAGGUUUGUGUACUGCGAGCCGAGCCUGCUUCGAGCACGUGAAUUUCUACGCAUUUACUGUCUCGUCUCGUUGGAGUGUAGUUAUUAAAGGUAACAAAAUUUAUAAAUUACACGGCCAUCGAGGUGUUAAUAGGUAAAUGCAACAAUUAGAGUCGGAUAGGGUUCGUUUUGAAACGUUUUCGAAGUGUUCGAUGGGAAUUCCGAAGGAGCGUGGCAUCGCGUCGUCAGACUUGUUCGUCUCGAGUUCGAAACCGGCAGCCAUUUCAUAUUUAAAAAGGGAGGGAGGAAUAUAUGGAAUAUAGCCGGUGUACGUGUAUAUAUACGUGUGUAUAUACAUAUAUAUAUAUAUAUAUAAAUAUAAUAGGUAGAUAGAUAGAUAUAGGUAAUUGAUCUCUUUAGAAAUCAAUUGUAAUUAUGCAAUUCGUUGCUCGUGCACGUCUCGUUGGAGGUAACUUUUAGACGCGUUUCGGGGUAAGUUUUAUCGCGAGUACAUUUUAAAUUGCAUAUAAAGAAAAGCUCUGUAAUAAAAAAAAAAAACAAUUGUACACGAUGAAUUUUGUACAUAAUUCAUUUGAUUUCAUUAAAUCGGGAAGCGGAUAUAUGCGAAUAUGAGUCUCGAAUACGAGCCAGUUGUUCAUAAUUUUCUAUUUUAUUUUUUUUUUUUAUAUAUCACUUUAAUUCGUUAUUUUUCUUUAGAAAUCAAUGAUCGCUCGAGCCACUCGUCGAACUUUCUCAGACAGAAACCGGAUGUGUACGGUCAAGUCAGGGAGAAUUGAAAGUUGUCGCAAAUGGCUGCCGGAAAGGGAACUCUUCUUUCGUAUCGACUGGAUGAACUUCCGGGUACAACUAGUCGAUAUAAUCGGUGACCCACGACAGACGAUAGACCAUUUCGUUCGUUUUCUUCUUUUGUUUAGUUAGGUAGCCAAGAGAGAGGCGACGAGAGCGGCGAGGCAGUUACGCGUGUCCGGUAGGGUUUCUAUGCCAAAUAAGUGUAUGCGUGUGUGUGGGUAUAUGUGUGUUUAUGAGUAAAUUUGAAAAUCGAACCAUGACCAUAGAAUAGUAGGAGAGAACCCUGAACAGAGCCAAUACAGCCAGAUUCUGACAGAUAGAAUCUAGUCAAAAGUGUUUCUACUAAUUUCUAAUGAAGAUUAUGGCAAAGCAACCUCUUUAAAUACUCGUAAUCUUGUCCAUGCUUCAAUAGAAAGUAGAACGAGGCAGCAUUUUCUUUAAUCAGUGAUCAAGAUUAUUUAGGAAUAUAUUUGAACAAAUUUCGUAGUUGUAGGUUGAAGCAAGUUGGACGGGGAUUCUUUGCUCUCUUAUUUUUUUUUAUCGCUUUUGGUGGAGGAGUUGGAAUUGUGAUAUAAUAAAAAAGAAUCACAGCAAUUGUAAAGAAACAAUCUCCAUCCAAGAUAUUGAAUCAAAUAUUCCAAUUUCUCUACCAAAAAAAAAAUCAUCCCUAUGCUAUCCAUAAUUUUCGUCCAGAACUAUGGUAGAAUUUCAUUAAAUUCCUAACGAAGCUCAAAUCUAAUGAUCGAGAACGCUUGUACCUUCGAUAAACUCAAUCAUGAAAUAUUCUUCACGUUCCUCGCACAAUAGUCUUUAAUUCUCUCUAUCCAUGGACUGAUUUAUUUUUCAUUUUAACCCUUCUUUGAAUUUCCCAAGCGAUUAUUUAAAUUUCUCUUGCAACAUUAAUGAAAGUUUAAUCCAAAGGAGGGUUAAAGGACCAACCCCCCAGGUGGUUCGUCCAAAAAUUAAAGUUCCUCGAUUCGAUACCGCGUUCUCGAUCACCACGAUUACCCUUUCUACGUAACGAAAAUCGGUCAUGUUAAUUUCUUUCACAUUGACGAUUCGCAAAAUCGAGUAACAACACACAUACACACACGGAGAGACAUAAGAAUAAAGUACUCCGAAACAGGGGGUUAAACGCAAAAGGGAAAAUGGUACGCACAUUGAGCCGAGUGAGUAAUAAUCCCUGUUACAAGUUCUAGUUAAGUGGAGAUUUAUCGUAAUAAACAUAUACAUAGAAUAAAUGAAUAAAUAUAUAUAUAUAAAUAUAUAUAUAUAUAUAUAGAUAAGUGGUUGCAUGAUUCGAUGUGAAAGCAUAAAUGGGGAAAGGUGUGAAUGAAAAAGAAUGCGUGCGAGAAAGAACAGAGAGGCGGGAAUGAAAAAGAAGGUGACAAAACGUUGGGGGCGGGGGGGUUGGAAAAUGAAAAGGAAGAGUAAGAGGAGGAAAAUUACACAACAAAAGAGUCGUGUGUGAAAUAGCCAAAUAUGACAAAGAUGUUCUUCACAACUUUUUAUUUUCUUUUUCUUUUCUGUUCGUUCUUCUUUUCUACGUAGAUAGUUCGUGACAGAUUAGUUCACUGUCAUCGGUUAUAUACGUUUUAACUCGUAAAUCUAUCGCUAGGAUAGUUACAUAUAUAGGCUAGGAAAAGAGACAGUGAAAGGAUAUAAAAAAUAAAAAUAAUCAUACUCUCAUGGUUUUUUUUUCUCGUUUUGCGUGUGCGAGCGCCAGUACAUGUAAAUAUGAAUUUGGGAUCGAUGAAACGAUUUCGACCAGCACAAAACUUGUUUUAAGAGCUAAGCCGAACAAUUCUCAGACAUACUCAUGAUUCUUGUAACGUUUAAAUUAACGAGCGUAGAUUUUAAUGCAAACUACAAAUGACCGUAAACGGAAGAGGAAAGAUACUAGUGAUUAAUUGCAAUCCCAAUGCGAGGAAGCUGGGAUAAAAUGAUCGAUGAUGAUUCUUGGAAUUCUUUGAACUUAAGGGGUCGUGUCAUCUUGAUCAGUCCAAAGAAAGCAUCGCAUUUCUGAAAAUUUAUUUCCGAGUUACAGAAACAUUUUUUUUUUAAUAAAAAUUGAUCAAUGAAAACGGAGACGUGUUGGUAGAAAAAUAGUUAUGGUUUUUAGCCCUCUACUUUUGCAACUGAUCAAGAUGGCUCAACCCUUUUCUCUCGUCAUUCGUUCUACACCAUCGUUCUUCUUCGAUCGAAUGCUUUCUUUUCUUAUACGUAAGUGCUCGAGGAUAAUAUUGAUAUUGGAAAUGAUACGCCAAGAUGGUUCGUCCUAGCGGAACGAGGGUGUUGGAACGAAUAAAUCGGACGAACGAUCUAUCCCUGUAUAUUGUACACUGUAAUUACAAUUUAUACUUUACUCGUAAUACCUUUAUCGGUAGGCUAUUACAACUAGUGGCUAGCGUAAGUGAAGCUCAAAUCUAGGCGAGAACCCAUCGUCUUAUUCUUCGUCACGAGUGCACAACUUCCCUCCUCCCCCAUUGAUUCCUCCUCUUCUUGUUCCUUGACUCUUGAUAUCGUUCUUUCAGCGUGUUCUCCGAUUCCGUACGCAGGCCUAUCAAUGAUUUUCGACUGUGUCUUCGAUCUUCUUUGCUUUCUUUGCCAUUUCUUUUCUUUUUAUUCAUUCCGGCUGCGCGUCGAACCGACUGACCAUACGCUCGAAAUCUCUAUCAUAUUUAAUUGUUCAUUUCAUUCGAAUAUUGUAAUAUUUUACGUAGGGUGUUUCGUAAAAGAUGACUAUUCAAUUUACUAUAUUUUUCUAAAAAUCGUUACGUUCUUAUCCAUAAGAAAAAUAUUUACUAUUAUAUUCGCAUUCGCUAUGAAAAAAAAAUGAUUUCUCCAGCUAAGCACAUUCAAAGUUUGAUGAAUUUACGAAACACCCCGUACAUGGAUCAAAAGGCAAAAGAACAAGUAAAGUCGACGGAUAACCCGAUGAAUUCUGUACAAAGGAACGUUCGAGAAACUUAGAGUCUAGCCAGGUACGGAUUAGAGAUUAGAGAAAAUAGCGUCUGUUUCUGAAUCUUAGAAAAAGUCAGAUACCAGUCCUCUCGAUUAACUAGCGAUCAGCUUAUUUAUGAUAUAAAUUCGUUCAAGUGCUUCGCGUGUUUAUCGUCUAUCGAUUUUUGGUGCGUCUGAACAGCGCACAACAAGUUUCUUCUCUCUUCUUGAGCGAGCAAGAAUUAAUUGUACAAAAUGCGUGAUUGUAACGUGCUCGAUUGGUUCGUCAGUCGUUUGGAUGCGUCCUCUUUAAACAUCAAAAUCUUUUCAAUAGAAGAAAAAAAAAAAGAAAGAAACACUUAUUGAAUUUCGCGCGUAUUUUUUAUUUCCCCGCGUUUAUUCGAAUCCAGCGGCUGGCGGUAAUUCGCAUUGUAAGAUAAUCCAAUAACGACCGAUACGCACCGUAACGUUAUACAUACAUAUAAAUAUACGAUGAUAUGAGAUAUAUAUUAAUUAUUAUAAAGCAGUACCGUAAACGGGAUUUUUAAAAAAAAAAAAAGUAAAUCUAGAUGACUUACAUGACUUACGUGGAAAAAAAAAAAAAAAAAACGACACAUCUUUACGAGCAACAUAUCCUAGCGUACUAGGCGACGCCUAGUAAAAGAAAAAUAAGGGAUGUUCCAUGACAUUAGGGCGUUAAUAAGUCGUAAAUUGUUAGUGAUGCGUGCGUGGAUGAUACGGGGGAUGCGUCCGUGUAUUGUACUUGAUGAAAGAUGUAAUCGAUCCUCUUCGAAUCGUCAUGGAAAGAAUGUUCUCCGAGGUCUCCGAUUUAUUCACGAUUUUAUUCAUUGUAAUACGAGAACCUUUGGAGAACGAUCGGAGGAGUAAAAUUGAUUAAAAUGAAGCGAUUCGUUGAGACACAUGGGGGAAGGGUUAAAAGAAUAAUAAUGAAAGGUAGUAAUAAAGGUUGGAGGGGGAAUAUUGAGAUGAAAAAAUGAUAAAAUACAAAAAAAGGAAUAGAGAACAUCGUAAGCAGCUAAAUGCCACCUGUUUCUUCGCUUCUCUCGCCGAUGUAAACGGAUUCGCAACGGGUGGGCCCUGUGGGAAAUCGUUUUUCUUGGUUUCCGAUUGCGAGACUACCUCUUCAGGAUAAAACGUAAGCGAUUUACGGUAAAUAUUAUACGCGAGAACAGACACAGGGAUGAUGUUAAUUCGAAAGGAAAAUCGCAAGGAAAGCAAGAAACGUUCAGGUGCAUACACGAGAGAACGAGAAUACGAUCAACUCGAGAUAACUUUAGUUUGCAAAAAAAGAAAAAGAAUAAAAAAAAAAAAAAGAA